rnacentral:tRNA from 1 species
UCCCAGGUAGCUUAGCUGGUAAAGAAUCUGUCUGCAAUGCAGGAGACCCUGGUUUGAUUCCUGGGUCGAGAA